UACGAAGGGGCUAGCGUUGCUCGGAAUCAUCUGGGCGUAAAGGGCGCGUAGGCGGGCUCUUAAGUCGAGGGGUGAAAAGCCCAAGGCUCAACCUUCGGAAUUGCCUUUGAUUACUGAGGGCCUUGAGACCGGAAGAGGUCGGGCGGAACUGACGAGUGUAGAGGUGGAAAUUCGUAGAUAUUCGCAAGAACACCAGUGGCGAAGGCGGAGCCGACCUGGUCCGGUUGUCGACGCUGAGGCGCGAAAGCGUGGGGAGCAAACAGG
rnacentral:rRNA from 1 species